rnacentral:rRNA from 1 species
GACGAACGCUGGCGGCGUGCUUAACACAUGCAAGUCGAACGGUAAGCCCGUGGCUUUCUCUGGUGGUUUAGUGGCGAACGGGUGAGUAACACGUGAGUAACCUGCCCUGGACUCUGGGAUAACCUUUGGAAACUACGUCUAAUACCGGAUAGGAGCUUGGGUCGCAUGAUCUGGGUUGGAAAGUUUUUUCGGUCUGGGAUGGACUCGCGGCCUAUCAGCUUGUUGGUGGGGUAGUGGCUCACCAAGGCGUUGACGGGUAGCCGGCCUGAGAGGGUGACCGGCCACACUGAGAGGGAGACACGGACGAGACUGAUACGGGAGGGAGCAGGGGGGAAGAUAGAACAAAGGGUGAAAGGAUGACGCAGGAACGCAGGGUGCGGGAGGACGGACGGCGGGUUGUAAAUCGCUCGUAGUAGGGAAGAAGGGAGUCGGAGUGACGGUAAUGGCAGAAAAAGGACCGGCUAACUACGUG